GUGAGCGAUCGCGGUGUGCUCGGGCUGGUGACGCGUGCGCCGGCCGGCCGCCGAGGGGCUACCGUUCUGCCUCCGACCGAAAUACUAGGCUUUAGAAUUUCACCUUAUGAAUUUUGGGAGAGAGGAGCACAGUUCAGCCCAUAACUAACACACGACGGAAUGAAGUUGAUAAUAGUGAGACCUUGUUGGUACAAGACUCUGUAACAUAACCUGCGCUUCUCAACAAAGAAUUGCUUUUCUGACUUCUGCACUCAAUAGCAAGACAAAUCUCUCCUCUGUCUUUUUCUUAUCAGACUACUCAACAUGAAGGCAAUAAGAAUGAAGACCUUUAUGUAUAAUAAUUGACUUCCACUUAAUAAAUAAGGUUACUUGGUACACUGGUCGACAAAACCUUGAAAUGUUGAUGUUUAAGGGCUGUUGAUUGCUGGCAACAAAGAAGUCCAACUGUGCUGGUACCCGAGAUAGCGUCUCCACAUUUUCUUCCAGGAUCAUCACCUUUGUUGUAAAUAGCUCCCACAUAGUGUGAACAGAAGUCAUAUGUUUUAGAUUUUCUGCCUUGGCACCCAGG
rnacentral:lncRNA from 1 species